rnacentral:rRNA from 1 species
UUAGAGUUUGAUCAUGGCUCAGGAUGAACGCUAGCGACAGGCUUAACACAUGCAAGUCGAGGGGCAGCACAGGUAGCAAUACCGGGUGGCGACCGGCGCACGGGUGAGUAACGCGUAUGCAACUUGCCUAUCAGAGGGGGAUAACCCGGCGAAAGUCGGACUAAUACCGCAUGAAGCAGGGGCCCCGCAUGGGGAUAUUUGCUAAAGAUUCAUCGCUGAUAGAUAGGCAUGCGUUCCAUUAGGCAGUUGGCGGGGUAACGGCCCACCAAACCGACGAUGGAUAGGGGUUCUGAGAGGAAGGUCCCCCACAUUGGUACUGAGACACGGACCAAACUCCUACGGGAGGCAGCAGUGAGGAAUAUUGGUCAAUGGGCGCGAGCCUGAACCAGCCAAGUCGCGUGAGGGAUGAAGGUUCUAUGGAUCGUAAACCUCUUUUAUAAGGGAAUAAAGUGCGGGACGUGUCCCGUUUUGUAUGUACCUUAUGAAUAAGGAUCGGCUAACUCCGUGCCAGCAGCCGCGGUAAUACGGAGGAUCCGAGCGUUAUCCGGAUUUAUUGGGUUUAAAGGGUGCGUAGGCGGCCUUUUAAGUCAGCGGUGAAAGUCUGUGGCUCAACCAUAGAAUUGCCGUUGAAACUGGGGGGCUUGAGUAUGUUUGAGGCAGGCGGAAUGCGUGGUGUAGCGGUGAAAUGCAUAGAUAUCACGCAGAACCCCGAUUGCGAAGGCAGCCUGCCAAGCCAUUACUGACGCUGUUGCACGAAAGCGUGGGGAUCAAACAGGAUUAGAUACCCUGGUAGUCCACGCAGUAAACGAUGAUCACUAGCUGUUUGCGAUACACUGUAAGCGGCACAGCGAAAGCGUUAAGUGAUCCACCUGGGGAGUACGCCGGCAACGGUGAAACUCAAAGGAAUUGACGGGGGCCCGCACAAGCGGAGGAACAUGUGGUUUAAUUCGAUGAUACGCGAGGAACCUUACCCGGGUUUGAACGCAUUCGGACCGAGGUGGAAACACCUUUUCUAGCAAUAGCCGUUUGCGAGGUGCUGCAUGGUUGUCGUCAGCUCGUGCCGUGAGGUGUCGGCUUAAGUGCCAUAACGAGCGCAACCCUUGCCACUAGUUACUAACAGGUAAAGCUGAGGACUCUGGUGGGACUGCCAGCGUAAGCUGCGAGGAAGGCGGGGAUGACGUCAAAUCAGCACGGCCCUUACAUCCGGGGCGACACACGUGUUACAAUGGCGUGGACAAAGGGAAGCCACCUGGCGACAGGGAGCGAAUCCCCAAACCACGUCUCAGUUCGGAUCGGAGUCUGCAACCCGACUCCGUGAAGCUGGAUUCGCUAGUAAUCGCGCAUCAGCCAUGGCGCGGUGAAUACGUUCCCGGGCCUUGUACACACCGCCCGUCAAGCCAUGGGAGCCGGGGGUACCUGAAGUCCGUAACCGCGAGGAUCGGCCUAGGGUAAAACUGGUGACUGGGGCUAAGUCGUAACAAGGUAACC